GAAAGAGCGAGCGACAACCAAUCGCAACGCGGCGUCCGGAGACUCGUUUGCAUAUUUCGCGCGCCAGGGAGAAAGGGCGCUUGGGGCGAGAACGGCCAAUCAGAUUUCAAUAAAGAAGAUUGCUGACAUUGGGAGACCUCGGUUCAAAACACCCCCGGGGGGAAAGAAGGCUGAAGCACUGCAAGAGGAACCAACCACAGUUAUGUUUAGUUACCCUGAAUUCCACCUACAUCUCCCUGGCUGGAAAUUCCUGUGAGCUAGUUGGAAAUGUUUUAUCUGCAGAGAUGAUCUAAACUGUCUGAAGUGUCUUAGUUGUUUAAGGUUUCAUUCAUUUUCAUUGUUUCAUGGUUUCAUUUCUCCCUGUUCAGGAGGGCCUGAAAGGCAGUGGGUGGUUCGGGAGCUGGGUCGCAGGUGGAGGAGUGGGAGGUUUGUAUCUCUGCUGUGUCUGCGCCGCCACGGUUUAUCUUACUAAGCUUGAAGCACCAACGUCCUUGGCCAAAAUACCUCAGGUGAAAUUGCUGCAUGGAAGUCAAAACACCAUUUACUUCAAUACACCUGAGGUUUCACCUAUUUCAUACCAUAAUUUAGACUGGAAAAUAACCUACCCCAGCUUCCCCACGCAAAUACGCACAUAGUUCCUUGUUAGCUUAAAAAUGGUAUUUUUGACUCUCUAUUUUUUUCCCUUGGAUUCAGCUUGACAGCAUGUAACACAUCACACCACAGAAAAUGCAGCACAAGUUUAGUUGAGCUGUAGCGCUUCAGCUGCAGCAUUUAUUUAUAAAACAACCAACCAAAAAAAAAUAAUAUUAUGAAAUCAUUGAUUCAAAGGAAUCAAUAAUAAAUAUUUGCUUUCCUCUGAGUUGUUCAGACACAGUACAAGUGCACCAAUUAUAGCAGGUAGAAGAGAUGUAAGCGUAGUUUAGCUGCUGAGAAACAAAAGAAAGCUACGUAACAUUGUAUGCAUUUAAUCACACUAGUAAUAACUGGUAUAUGACAGUAAAUGCUUUAAGUACACUAUUUUACAAAAUAGAGUUUGGCUUAUGGUUCAUUUGCUUCCCUUGUGCAACUCCUGAUGGUCUCAUCCGGAGCUCAGAAAAUGUCCCUUGGAAAAUAAAAUACCUUUGAAAUGAUCUCUUGUAUUUCCCUUGAGUAAUAAACGUUUCCCUUUGGGCUUCACACUGA